rnacentral:rRNA from 1 species
CCCUUAGAUGUCCUGGGCCGCACGCGUGCUACACUGACGCCUACAGCGAGUACUUCCCAGCCCCGAGAGGUGGCUGGUAAUCAGCAAUAGGCGUCGUGAUGGGGAUAGAUCUUUGGAAUUAUGGAUCUUGAACGAGGAAUGCCUAGUAAGCGCAGGUCAUUAGCCUGCGCUGAUUAAGUCCCCGCCCUUUGUACACACCGCCCGUCGCUCCUACCGAUUUCGAGUGGUCCGGUGAAUCUUUCGGACUGCGCGCGGCCUCGUGCCGUGUCGCGGAAAGUCAGGUAAACCUUAUCACUUAGAGGAAGGAGAAGUCGUAACA